GCUUACGGCCAUACCACUCUGAACACGCCCGAUCUCGUCCGAUCUCGGAAGCUAAGCAGGGUCGGGCCUGGUUAGUACUUGGAUGGGAGAACCGCCUGGGAAUACCAGGUGCUGUAAGCU
rnacentral:rRNA from 1 species